rnacentral:rRNA from 1 species
UUCGGGAUGCCGACGAGUGGCAAACGGGUGAGUAACGCGUGGAUACCUGCCCUGUGGUGGGGAAUAACGUCUAGAAAUGGACGCUAAUACCGCAUAAGCUCUGCGGAGGAAAGAUUUAUCGCCAUGGGAGGGGUCCGCGUCGGAUUAGCUAGUUGGUGGGGUAACGGCCUACCAAGGCGACGAUCCGUAGCUGGUCUGAGAGGAUGAUCAGCCACACUGGGACUGAGACACGGCCCAGACUCCUACGGGAGGCAGCAGUGGGGAAUAUUGCGCAAUGGGGGAAACCCUGACGCAGCGACGCCGCGUGGGUGAAGAAGGCCUUAGGGUUGUAAAGCCCUUUCAGUGGGAAAGAUGAUGACGGUACCCACAGAAGAAGCUCCGGCUAACUCCGUGCCAGCAGUCGCGGUAAUACGGAGGGGGCCAGCGUUGUUCGGAAUUACUGGGCGUAAAGGGCGCGUAGGCGGUUGAUCAAG